rnacentral:misc_RNA from 1 species
AAUAUUUAAAUUCUAUUAAAAAUAUCACAUGAUAUAAUAAGAGUAAUAUGCAAAAAAAAAGUUAUUUAAAAUAUUUUUUAUAAUACAAAAAAUUCAAUUCACCUCAGCAGCAAGUCAGCAAGCCAUCAUGGCCAAGAUACCACUCAUCCAACCAACUCAAUCCAGUGAAUUUAACUGUCAGGUUGGUUGGGUUACAUUACAGGUCGGUUUGGAGCCAAAUUUAAUCGAAACCGACCCAUGAACAACACUACUAGUUCUAACCCAGAAAUGUGGAACCAAAAACACAAAAGAAGUUGAAAUUAAACUAUAUAAAUAUGAGGUGUGUAUGUGAACAAUGAGACUUUCAGUAAUUGCAAUUUGCAGCUUUUCAAGCAUUUAUAAUUUUGACAUAUAAGAGAUUCUAAAAUUUCAAUAAAACGAUAAGAUCUACAUAUCAUAUCGAUUGUAAAACAAUUAUAUUCAGAACUUUAUUUUCACAUUUCCAUAAGUGAACAGGAUUUCUAGAUUUGCAAAAUUGAUGAAGUGUGACAUCCAAAAUGUCAAAUAUCAGCACAAUUUACCAAAGUAUGCAAAUAAAACAAACAAAUAACAGGACUAUCUGCCAAGAGUAAAAUCAAUAACCUUCGUAUAAUUCAUAAACAAAGCAAAACAAGAAGUUCCAAAAAGAGUAAUCAA